GAAACUUUCAUCCUCAGAUAUCAAACAGCUGGCUUUUUAAUAAAGAUUUCUUAUUUUUGUUUUAUUUCAUUCUUUACUCAAGAUCACAAUGUCUUUUAUUUACAGCACUGGACUUGCUCUUCUUCUGAUAGGUGUUAUACAUGGAGAUACAGUAACACAGCAAGAAAUGACUGAUCCUGUGUAUGAAGGCAGUAGCGUUCUUCUUUCAUGCAACUUCACAGCUCUGAACAGAGACAAUCCUAACUUAUUCUGGUACAAGCAGAAACCAAAUGGACCCAUUACGUUUAUGGAACUUCACGUUAGUAGAUACCAAAAUAGUACUAAAAAUGGAAGAUUCGCAGUCCAUUUUGACUAUUCAAAGAACCAUGUAGUUCUAAACAUCUCCAACGUCCAACUGUCUGAUGCAGCAGUUUAUUACUGUGCACUUAGUGACACGGUAACUAACAUCCUUACUAACAUCAUACAAGAACUUUAUCUGAAAGUACAUGAAAUGUUAAGCAUUCAGAUAAUUCACAUUAAAGGAUUUCAUACGCAUUUUAGAAUUCAGAAACAACAUGAUUGGCCAUUUUGA